GAUGCAGUAUUGGAGCAUUCAAAUACUGUUUGAACAGUUCAGAAUUCCAAGACUGAAACUCUUGUCUUGGACUUCAUUCAGCUUGGUAGCCUUCUAUGUGAUACUGGUCCAAAGAUGUAGAAAAACUUAAGUUUGUGGGCAUAUUGUCCAUGAGUUGAGGAAGAAGAUGGAGACUCAAGAAUCCUGGUUGUUCCCAGUGUAUUCCGUUGGAUUUUCACAAGAUGGCGGUACCCAGAUUGGUGAUGCUGAACAUCUAAAAAAUCGUAAGGCUCCCAUCUGAGAUCUUUUUAGAGAACAAUUCUGAAUCCUUCCAAGACUCAUAUGCUUUGUUAUCGUACAUGAGGAAUGCAUCUCAUAAGCAAUGUGCCUACAUCGAUGUAUUUAUCACAUCUUCCAAGAGAGGCAAUUCGACAAAUGUCAAACCACAAAAACAAGAUAUGUCAUCUCCCUAACUUUGCAUUUCAGCAUUAAAUAGCCCUAAACUAUAUAUAGCCUUCAUGGUCAAACCAAACCAAAGGGAGAAUCAUCUUCUUCUGUCACCUUGUGGAAAAGUGAAUGUUCUCCUAGUUUUAAUUCUUUGGCUCAACAUUAAAAUAGUGUUUAUGUAAGAAACCAAAAAGUCAUCAACUGGAUUCUUUGAUCUGAUCUCAUUACUCUGAGACAGAGCUAGUUACAGAGAUGCCUCCCUGUCUCUAAACUGAAAAAAAAGGAAAGCGCUGUUGUAACAAAUAAGGCUAAUUAAUUAAGCAAAUCCACACCUUAGCCAUAUCUGAAAAUGUAUAUGUGUGUAUGUGUGUGCCUGCCUUUCUCAUACUAUUUAAUGGAGACUCUGAUGUCCAAGUACUAGCUUGGUACCUUCACUGGCAAAUAAUCUUGACUUUAUUAAGUCUCAUAAAGGAGUUUGACUGCAUGGCGGUGCCUUCUUCCACUUUUAAAAUCUACGACUGUGACAAUCAUACCUUCUGUACCACAGAAUCCCCUUUUGUAGAUGGUUAUGGAGUAACUGAAUAAAAUUCUUGUUUCAUAGUUAA